rnacentral:lncRNA from 1 species
UGUUGAUGGCUGGACAUUGCAUCAUCCUAGAAAACUUGGAGGCCAGUGAGGACAAAAAUAAAAAGUUAAAAGACUUUUAAAUAUGUGGAUUUUAGUGUUAUCUUUGGCGCCCCCUAGAACCUAAACCUUGGGGUGCAGCGUCAUGAUUUUGAUAACUUUUAAUGGCCACGGGGUGUAGAUUGGCCUGAGCAAAUGUGGUGCCGGUGGAACGAAAGCCUUCGGAGGAGUUAGCGAAAUUCCAAUGUGUGCGGAUCGGCAAAAAAUGCGAAAUAACCCUUUAACCGUAAUUUUGACAGAUAUGGCCGCACUGACUUUUUUGUAGAUCUUAUUAAGAUACAUAUGUGUGUCAAUUUUUGUGUCAAUAUGACAAAGCGUACAGGCGUGACAGUCAAUAGUGUGAAUUUCCACCUUAGGGGGCGCUAUGGAGCCAUUUUGCAUUUUAUUGUUUGGGCGACUUCAGAAUAUCGAAUUUUUCACCAGGCCCGGUCGUCCUGCCAAAUUUCAUGAGUUUUUGCCAGUGGGAAGUGGGCCAUUUUCCAGUUCAAAGGGGAGGAAAAAGAAAAAAGAAAGAAAGAAACAAAGAAAAACCACUUGGGGAAUAAUAGGGCUCUCGCAGCUGCUUAGCAGCUACGCUCGGGCCCUAAUAACAAAAGAAGGAAACAUGCAGGAACAAGAGGGCUCUCGCAGCUGCUUAGCAGCUACGCUCGGGCCCUAAAGAAAGAAAGAACAAGAAAAAAUGGACUUUUUUCUCCUGCCAUGGGGGGGCGCUCUUUUAGGGAGUAAAAAUUCCUUCACAAAUGUGUUGAUGGCUGGACAUUGCAUCAUCCUAGAAAACUUGGAGGCCAGUGAGGGCAAAAAUAAAAAGUUAUAAGACUUUGAAAUAUGUGGAUUUUAGUGUUAUCUUUGGCGCCCCCUAGAACCUAAACCUUGGGGUGCAGCGUCAUGAUUUUGAUAACUUUUAAUGGCCACGGGGUGUAGAUUGGCCUGAGCAAAUGUGGUGCCGGUGGAACGAAAGCCUUCGGAGGAGUUAGCGAAAUUCCAAUGUGUGCGGAUCGGCAAAAAAUGCGAAAUAACCCUUUAACCGUAAUUUUGACAGAUACGGCCGCACUGACUUUUUUGUAGAUCUUAUUGAGAUACAUAUGUGUGUCAAUUUUUGUGUCAAUAUGACAAAGCGUACAGGCGUGACAGUCAAUAGUGUGAAUUUCCACCUUAGGGGGCGCUAUGGAGCCAUUUUGAAUUUUAUUGUUUGGGCGACUUCAGAAUAUCGAAUUUUUCACCAGGCCCGGUCGUCCUGCCAAAUUUCAUGAGUUUUCGCCAGUGGGAAGUGGGCCAUUUUCCAGUUCAAAGGGGAGGAAAAAGAAGAAAGAAAGAAAGAACAAGAAAAAAUGGACUUUUUUCUCCUGCCAUGGGGGGGCGCUCUUUUGGGGAGUAAAAAUUCCUUCACAAAUGUGUUGAUGGCUGGACAUUGCAUCAUCCUAGAAAACUUGGAGGCCAGUGAGGACAAAAAUAAAAAGUUAUAAGACUUUUAAAAAUUUGAAUUUUUGGGUUAUCUUUGGCGCCCCCUAGAACGUAAACCGUGGGGUGCAGCGUCAUGAUUUGAAUAACUUUUAAUGGCCAUGGGGUGUAAUUUGGCCUGAGCAAAUGUGGUGCCGGUGGAACGAAAGCCUUCGGAGGAGUUAGCGAAAUUCCAAUGUGUGUGAAUCGGCAAAAAAUGCGGAAUAACCCUUUAACCGUACAUUUGACAGAUACGCGCCCAUUGACUUUUUUGUAGAUCUUAUUGAGAUACAUGUGUGUGUCAAUUUUUGUGUCAUUUUGUCAAAGCGUACAGGCGUGACACUCAACAAUGUGUAUUUUCACCUUAGGGGACAAGAAAAAAUGGACUUUUUUCUCCUGCCAUGGGGGGGCGCUCUUUUGGGGAGUAAAAAUUCCUUCACAAAUGUGUUGAUGGCUGGACAUUGCAUCAUCCUAGAAAACUUGGAGGCCAGUGAGGACAAAAAUAAAAAGUUAUAAGACUUUGAAAUAUGUGGAUUUUAGUGUUAUCUUUGGCGCCCCCUAGAACCUAAACCGUGGGGUGCAGCGUCAUGAUUUGAAUAACUUUUAAUGGCCAUGGGGUGUAGAUUGGCCUGAGCAAAUGUGGUGCCGGUGGAACGAAAGCCUUCGGAGGAGUUAGCGAAAUUCCAAUGUGUGCGGAUCGGCAAAAAAUGCGGAAUAACCCUUUAACCGUACAUUUGACAGAUACGCGCGCAUUGACUUUUUCGUAGAUCUUAUUGAGAUACAUGUGUGUGUCAAUUUUUGUGUCAUUUUGACAAAGCGUACAGGCGUCAGGUGAAUUUUUCACCUUAGGGGGCGCUAUGGAGCCAUUUUGCAUUUUCUUGUUUGGGCGACUUCGGAAUAUCAAAUUUUUCACCAGGCCCGGUCGUCCUGCCAAAUUUCAUGAGUUUUCGCCAGUGGGAAGUGGGCCAUUUUCCAGUUCAAAGGGGAGGAAAAAUAAUAACUAGGGCCCCGUUGGGGCACUGGCGGGCCCGAGCCAUGUCACGCCGCCCUCAGCGCGACCGCCUCCCCCACCCGAUCGCGUCACACUCAAGGUCCAAAGAUGGUGUGCGCACUUGUUUGUGGUCAUUUACCAUUAUAAUGAACGGGAGGCGCAGUUUCUACCAAAACGCUCGCUGCAGAAAAACUCCAUGUCCUAUUUGAAAAAAGUCUGGACCAUGAGUGAGGGCACAAACACAGCUAAGAUAUAUCCAAAUGGCAAGUUGCUCCUCCUUUCGCUUUUGCCGAGAGAGCAGUGCGUUUGAGCCAUUGAAUGAUGAACAGGAAAAACUUGACUUUAUUCUCCUGCCAUUGGGGGGUGCUCUUUUAACGAGAAAAAACUCCUUCACAAAUGUGUUGAUGGCUGGACAUUGCAUCAUACUAGAAAACAUGGAGGCCAGUGAGGACAAAAAUAAAAAGUUAUAAGACUUUUAAAUAUGUGGAUUUUAGGGUUAUCUUUGGCGCCCCCUAGAACCUAAACCGUGGGGUGCAGCGUCAUGAUUUGAAUAACUUUUAAUGGCCAUGGGGUGUAGAUUGGCCUGAGCAAAUGUGGUGCCGGUGGAACGAAAGCCUUCGGAGGAUUUAGCGAAAUUCCAAUGUGUGCGAAUCUGAAAAAAAUGCGAAAUAACCCUUUAACCGUACAUUUUACAGAUACGUGGCCAUUGACUUUUUCGAAGAUCUUAUUGAAAUACACGUGUAUGUAAAAUUUUGUGUCAAUACGACAAAACAUACAGGCGUAGCACUCAACAAUGUGUAUUUUCACCUUAGUGGACAAGAAAAAAUGGACUUUUUUCUCCUGCCAUGGGGGGGCGCUCUUUUGGCGAGUAAAAAUUCCUUCACAAAUGUGUUGAUGGCUGGACAUUGCGUCAUCCUAGAAAACUUGGAGGCCAGUGGGGACAAAAAUAAAAAGUUAUAAGACUUUUUAAUAUGUGGAUUUUACGGUUAUCUUUGGCGCCCCCUAGAACCUAAACCGUGGGGUGCAGCGUCAUGAUUUGAAUAACUUUUAAUGGCCAUGGGGUGUAGAUUGGCCUGAGCAAAUGUGGUGCCGGUGGAACGAAAGCCUUCGGAGGAGUUAGCGAAAUUCCAAUGUGUGCGGAUCGGCAAAAAAUGCGGAAUAACCCUUUAACCGUACAUUUGACAGAUACGCGCGCAUUGACUUUUUCGUAGAUCUUAUUGAGAUACAUGUGUGUGUCAAUUUUUGUGUCAUUUUGACAAAGCGUACAGGUGUUACACUCAACAAUGUGUAUUUUCACCUUAGGGGACAAGAAAAAAUGGACUUUUUUCUCCUGCCAUGGGGGGGCGCUCUUUUGGGGAGUAAAAAUUCCUUCACAAAUGUGUUGAUGGCUGGACAUUGCAUCAUCCUAGAAAACUUGGAGGCCAGUGAGGGCAAAAAUAAAAAGUUAUAAGACUUUUAAAUAUGUGGAUCUUAGGGUUAUCUUUGGCGCCCCCUAGAACCUAAACCGUGGGGUGCAGCAUCAUGAUUUGAAUAACUUUUAAUGGCCAUGGGGUGUAGAUUGGCCUGAGCAAAUGUGGUGCCGGUGGAACGAAAGCCUUCGGAGGAGUUAGCGAAAUUGCAAUGUGUGCGGAUCGGCAAAAAAUGCGAAAUAACCCUUUAACCGUACAUUUGACAGAUACGCCCGCACUGACUUUUUUGUAGAUCUUAUUGAGAUACAUGUGUGUGUCAAUUUUUGUGUCAUUUUGACAAAACAUACAGGCGUGACAGUCAAUAGUGUGAAUUUUCACCUUAGGGGGCGCUAUGGAGCCAUUUUGCAUUUUCUUGUUUGGGCGACUUCGGAAUAUCAAAUAUUUCACCAGGCCCGGUUGUCCUGCCAAAUUUCAUGAGUUUUCGCCAGUGGGAAGUGGGCCAUUUUCCAGUUCAAAGGGGAGGAAAAAUAAUAACUAGGACCCCGUUGGGGCACUGGCGGGCCCGAGCCGUGUCGCCCCCCC